GCCUCUGGCUAUAGGAAAUUGUUAGUGGCAGACGGGUGAGUAAUGCGUAGGAAUCUACCUAGUAGUACGGAAUAGCCAUUAGAAAUGGUGGGUAAUACUGUAUAAUCCCCGAGGGGGAAAGAUUUAUCGCUAUUAGAUGAGCCUACGUUAGAUUAGCUAGUUGGUGAGGUAAUGGCUUACCAAGGCUAUGAUCUAUAGCUGGUCUGAGAGGACGAUCAGCCACACUGGAACUGAGAUACGGUCCAGACUCCUACGGGAGGCAGCAGUGGGGAAUAUUGGACAAUGGGCGAAAGCCUGAUCCAGCUAUGCCGCGUGAGUGAAGAAGGCCUUCGGGUUGUAAAACUCUUUCAAUAGGGAAGAUAAUGACGGGUACCU
rnacentral:rRNA from 1 species